rnacentral:lncRNA from 1 species
UUUUUAUGUGGCGAGAGCAUGCUAAGCUCGAGCACAAUAUGAAGUUUACUGACCCGUAUACAUAGUAUAAGGUCAAUAGAUCACUGUGUAACGAUCAAACAUUAAUAUAAAUAGACAAGCAAGCACGAGAAAUCGCAUUUGAUCAUGACCAUUUUCCAGGUGGAGUUUGAUCUAUUAUAAUUUAAUAAUAGAUUAAAUAAAUGUGUAAAUUACCGUGUACCCUUUAUAAGAAUGAAUUCAGUCAACGGAAAUAGUCCUUCAGUUUUCAGUUUUUAAUGUUAAUAUCAUUUUUUUUCGAAUAACUGAACAUGCAUAGCCCAUCACCAG